rnacentral:tRNA from 1 species
GCCGGAGUGGUGGAAAGGCAUACACGUUCGUCUUAAAAACGAAUGCCCGAAAGGGAUUGUGGGUUCGAAUCCCACCUUCGGCACCA